rnacentral:lncRNA from 1 species
UUUGAAGUCAAUUUUGUAUACAUAAACAUUACAAAUCUGUUUUACGAUGCAGCAAGUGGAUAUAAAAUAAAAUAUUGGUACACAGUCUGAUGAAUCAUUCAUUAGAUGCAGAACACAACUAAGAUGCAGCAACACUUUACCAGCAAAAUACAUCCGAUUCUUUUAUAAUAGAAGGUUGAAAUCACCACAUCUACCAUCAACAAUGCAUAAAUCACUAAUUGGUAUCCACAAAAAGAAAAAAAAGAGAACCCAAAUCGAAGGUUUUGCUCACUGUUGUGAGUGUUGAUAGGGUCUGCAGCACCAAAUGAGCGAUGAGAGACCUUCAUAUGUCGAUACGGGGGAUAUGGGAGAUUAGGGGCCAGUAUCUGCCUCUUUUACUGCAUCUUUCUCUCAGUUUUGG